GAAAGAGCCUUCUCAUCAAUGAAUAUCAUCAAGACUGAGUUGCGCAACAAGAUGUCUGAUGGCUGGCUUAAUGACUUGAUGGUGUGUUACAUUGAGCGAGAGAUCUUCAAAAGUAUUGAUCUUGGUAAAAUUAAGGAAGAUUUUUAGAAGGAGGGUAGGGCACUGCCAUUAUCUGGGUCUUCUAAACGCCAUUAA
rnacentral:rRNA from 1 species